ACUCGGAGCCAGCACGAGGAGGAGAGGAAUAGGAGAGGGCGAGAUGUCAUGAAGCGCUGAGGGAGGAGCAGUGAGCCAGAACCCAGCGAGAGGUCAUCCACCCUUACAUAACUGGCCUGGAAACACACCUGGAGAGGAGGUUUCAUGAUCUGGACAUUCUUGGGGCCUUCAGUAUCUUGGGACCCGCACCGCAAUCAACCACUCUACAAGAUGAUACAAUCAACAUCUCUCAUCUGCGGACUCUUGCCAGGAAAUGUUGCCCUGAACAUGAGAAUGAGGUCCUGCAGGAGUGGUCCUCGUUCAAAAAUCAUGUCCUUCCUGGGGCAUUCACGGUGGGUCAAUUAAGCUGAUUCUGACUACAAUCAACUGCAGUUCACAAUACACACACAUAGACUAAUGCCUUGGUAAACCAAAUGUUGUUUCAAGAACAAUAACCAGGAGAUCAUGAGUCUGCUGGCAAGCGAGUUUGAUGAGUGGACCAACCUCUACCCCUGUCUGAGCCUCCUUGCAGGCAUUGCACUUGUUUUACCCGUUUCCUGUGUCAAUUACAACGUGAUUUCUCAACGGUGAACAGGGUGAAAACAGACCUGAAACCAGCUUCAAGGUGAACACCUGGCUGCCUGCCUGAGGAUCUCCAUAAACGGACCCCAUCCUGAGGCCUUCUCAUGUAAUAGGGCAUUGGAAUAUUUUUUCAGAA